rnacentral:lncRNA from 1 species
AUCCCCGUGCUCUUCUCCUUCGUCUGGGCCUUCCCGCUGCAGAUGUACCUGCAGGCGCAGAUCAAGAACAUGAUCAUCACGUACCUCGCCAUGCUCAACCUCGGCCUCCACCUCGCCCUGUCCUGGCUCGCCGCCGUCCACCUCCGCCUCGGCCUCGCCGGCGUCAUGGGCUCCAUGGUCGUCGCCAUGUGGAUCCCCGUGUUCGGCCAGCUCGCCUUCGUCUUCUUCGGCGGAUGCCCUCUCACCUGGACCGGAUUCUCGUCCGCCGCCUUCGCCGACCUCGGCGCCAUCGUCAGGCUCUCGCUCUCUUCUGGUGUCAUGCUCUGGUAAGCAAAGCAAGCCACUGUGGUCUGUGGGUGUGGAUGGUAUCCAUCCGCAUCGUAGUCUUUUUUUCUAGAAUUUUGAAUUUAUCAUCAAGACUCCUCCCAUGGAAUAAUAAUUAAAACAUUAUACAUGUGCCCCCCUUUGGCCGUACCUUUCAGCUUGGAAUUGUGGUACAACACCAUACUGGUGCUCCUCACAGGAUACAUGAAGAAUGCGGAGAUCGCACUUGACGCCCUUUCGAUAUGGUAAUAUUAAAGGAACCCUAAUGAUAAUGUCCACAGAUCACUCUACACUUUCAUCACUUGCUAGCUGCUUUACUAAAUGUGCAGCCUUAACAUCAAUGGUUGGGAGAUGAUGAUCUCCAUAGGCUUCCUGGCUGCAACAGGGUACGUACGCAACCACAUCAGUUUCUUAUCUUUUUUUAAUAACCAUGCAUGCAACCUAACAAAACACAACGAACCACCUAUCUUUUUCAGAGUGCGAGUGGCGAACGAGCUGGGAGCUGGGAGCG